UGAGGCUUCAUCUCAAAAAAUAAAAACAAUCGCCUUCCCAGGGACUGUGGGAUUACAGGCUUCUCAAACCUCUGCUUGGAUAGAGUAAGUCUACAGAAAAUUAGCUCUUACUACUUCAACGGUUUUAAAACAGAGAAUGUUAGAUACCCACUUAUUUUCUUCCUACCUUUUAUCUCCCAUGUUCCAAUUGAUAACUAAUAUCAAACAAGCAAACAAAACAAAUCAGAAACCCCCUGGUAGCCAGUGUUUGGCAUUUGUGAUUAAUCUACAGGAUAUCAGUACUAAAAUAGGAUAUUAUGUCUGAGGACAUUUUCAUGCUAGGUCCUACUGCAACUCGAAUGAUACUUAGACUCCACAAGACCAACUUCCUAUUUCUACAUCAGCGAAGGUUCGGAGUGGAGCUUUUCAUUCAACAAAGACCUCGGGAAGCACAGAGUUCGGUGACGAAUUCUCACAUGCAGGUACCUCUUCAGUAGAAAAAUUCACUAAGGUUUCUGACACUUUCUACCUAUGGGCCAGUUACACACAGAAGAGAAAACUGGAACUGAAAACUGAUUUGUCAUUUUUACAAAAAGUCACUGCAAAGAAGGCGAAUUCCAAGUA